rnacentral:ribozyme from 1 species
CACACACACACACACAGAAUGGAAGGAAGAGGAAGAGGAAGAGAGAGAGAGCAAAACAAAAAGCUGUUAACGUGUUUUGUUUUCAUGUUCCUUCUUCUUUUGCCUUCCUUGGGUUUGAACUAAGUGGGAUUGGUCUAUCUUUAUAAA